UGGGGAAUCUUGGACAAUGGGCGCAAGCCUGAUCCAGCGACGCCGCGUGGGUGACGAAGGCCUUCGGGUUGUAAAGCCCUUUUGUCGGGGACGAUGAUGACGGUACCCGGCGAAUAAGCACCGGCUAACUCCGUGCCAGCAGCCGCGGUAAGACGGAGGGUGCUAGCGUUGUUCGGAAUUACUGGGCGUAAAGGGCGCGUAGGCGGCCUCUUGCGUCGGAUGUGAAAGCCCGGGGCUCAACCCCGGAACGGCAUCCGAUACGGUGGGGCUCGAGACCGGGAGAGGAGGGUGGAAUACCCAGUGUAGAGGUGAAAUUCGUAGAUAUUGGGUGGAACACCGGUGGCGAAAGCGGCUCUCUGGCCCGGUUCUGACGCUGAGGCGCGAAAGCGUGGGGAGCAAACAG
rnacentral:rRNA from 1 species